GACGAACGCUGGCGGCGUGCUUAACACAUGCAAGUCGAACGGAAAGGCCCUGCUUUUGUGGGGUGCUCGAGUGGUGAACGGGUGAGUAACACGUGAGUAACCUGCCCUUGACUUUGGGAUAACUUCAGGAAACUGGGGCUAAUACCGGAUAGGAGCUCCUGCUGCAUGGUGGGGGUUGGAAAGUUUCGGCGGUUGGGGAUGGACUCGCGGCUUAUCAGCUUGUUGGUGGGGUAGUGGCUUACCAAGGCUUUGACGGGUAGCCGGCCUGAGAGGGUGACCGGCCACAUUGGGACUGAGAUACGGCCCAGACUCCUACGGGGGGCAGCAGUGGGGAAUAUUGCACAAUGGGCGGAAGCCUGAUGCAGCAACGCCGCGUGCGGGAUGACGGCCUUCGGGUUGUAAACCGCUUUCGCCUGUGACGAAGCGUGAGUGACGGUAAUGGGUAAAGAAGCACCGGCUAACUACGUG
rnacentral:rRNA from 1 species